AUCAGUAUAGCAAAUACAUUUGGUUAUACACAAUAAAAAAACAAAAAUGAAGUUCAAAAAAAAUUCAAAGCAUACAUCCUAUGAUUGAAAAACAUUUUGGUCACAAAAUACUCACCCUUUACUGUCACGACCCAAAUCGAAGGGCAGCGACGGGUACCCGGUGCUUUACUCAACCGAGUACCAAUGUAACAUAAUAUACAAACUUAUACAUGUGACGUACAAGCCCACAAGGCCGACAUAACCAUUUGUAAACUCAAAACAUAGGCCGAUAAGACCAUACAAGUAUCUAUAAAUCUGACAUUUGUCUACAAGCCUCUAAGACUACAUAAAAUUAUAAAGGUCGGGGGCCCAUCAUACCAAUCAAUACAUUUCCAAAGCAUACUGACCAAAUAGGCAACUCCGGAGCAAGUGGAGUGCAUCAACACCUCCGCUGAGCUGAUAGCCUACUAGGGAGACUGUCAACCUAUCAAUCGGGACCUGCGGGCAUAAAACGCACCGUCCCCAGGCAAAAGGGACGUCAGUACAAAUAAAGUACUGAGUAUGUAAUGAAGGAAAGCAUAAGCUAGAACUGUAAUGUAAGGAGAGAUAGAGGAGAUACAACUUGGAACAUCUGAGCGCCUCUGGAGGCUACUGACAUGAAAUGCGUAAUACAUGUAUAUACAUAAACUUUUACAAACAUACACCUCUAUGGGGAUCAUCAUCAUCAUCAUAUCUUACCUGGCCUCAAAGAGGACUCGGUAAAAACGUACCCGGCCACAUGAAGCUCGGUAAACCCAACUGAUCAGUGGUUACACAAUAGGUGUCGUACCCGGCCGACAAUAGCGCGGCUCGGUGAGUAAAAUAGAUACAUAUAUAUAUAUAUAAUGCAUGCUCGACUCAUGAAAUCAUAUUCUAGACCUUUCGGAGUGACGUAAGGUCAUUUCACCUUCGAUUAACAUUAUGUACAUCAUACCAUCAAUAUGAACCUUAGUAGGAUUUAAGGAUCAUAUACACUUGUUUAGGAUAACUUUAACAUGGACAAUCUUAGUUUCUAGGAGUAGAUCCAUUAUGAAGUAGCGUAUCGUUUAUGUUCGUUUCAAUUUAGAUCAUGCCAAACGAAAUACAGAAGUGCCUUAACAUACCUUAACCAUGGUGAGUUCUUAAUACCUCUCAAGCAACUCUUCAAACAACUCAACCCAAUCUACCAUUGAAUAAGGAGAUUCAAACUAGUGUUGAAUAAAGGCUAAGUUUUCAACUUAAAUUUGUAGCUUUUUAUAUAAAUUCAGGCAGCAUCUCCCAUGUAAAAGAGUCUCCUACAAUACCAUAUACCAACCACAAUUACAAGAGAAAUUCAGCAAUACAUAAUUAUCAAUAACAAGACACCAUAAAAUAACAAAAAGUCAUAAUUAUUUGACGACGAGCGACAAGCUCCAAUUGAAAUUCGAAUACGCCAUAUCAUUCCUUAUAGAACUUUAACUUUAGCUUAGUAGCAUCAUUAACAUGAUAGUGAAUUCAUUCAUCAAUAUAUCCAGCCUUAUACCACAUAUCCAUACCAAAGAAAAUGAUCCACAACUUAAAUUAUUCUUAAUAAGCAACAUUAUUCUCUAGUUCAUGUCUAGUUUAUCCAUUUAACUCAACCGAUGUCAGUAUAACCUUAAGAACCUGUAGGAACACAAUAUAAUUACCUCCUACAGUAGGUUCAAGUCAAAUUCAAUGUUAUAUAUGGCUUAUAAUAGCUCAACACCCCCCAAUCAAUUCAUACCAAGAACGACGACUAUAGUAGUAUCCAACACCCCGAAAAUAUUAUAAAGAAUGACUAAUCCAUCAUUUCAAAAUUAUGUGGUGUUUCUCCAUACCAUUUAUCCUCGAAAAACUCCGUUAAAUUUCAGCAAAAUAUACAGCCCAAAAGCAACAUGAAACAGCCCACAAAACAGUCCAUUACAAACCAAAUAACUCGAACUCACGGCUUCCGAUCACCGUCCCGAUAGUUCUGACUAUUAUAAAAUGAAGUAAUCAACCUUACUUGAUAUUUAAGAUCCUGCAACCAGAAAUUAGGCAUUUUUAUGAACUUCAAAAUACCUUCCAAAACUCAAAUUAUAAAGAAAAAGAUAGGUAAUAUAGUGAUACUUAUGUCGUGAUUUUUUAUUAACUUCAAAAUACCUUCCAAAACUCAAAUCAUAAAGAAAAAGUGAGGUAAUAUAGUGAUACUUACGUCGUGGGGAUCGUUUUUGUGUUUUUGCUUCUUGAUUUCGUGUCCGGGAUGAUGGUAUUGUUUGGAACCCUUGUAGAGAGCUUAAGGGUGAUGUUAGGGGUCUUAUUUGGUCUUGAUCUCUGGAAAUAUGCUGAAAGAGACGAGAUAAAGGAGGUAAUCUCCAUUUUGUUGAAAAGGCAAAAGGUGCAACUUGGCA
rnacentral:lncRNA from 1 species